ACUAAGGAAACAGGUCACUGGGUAUGUGGUCUUUGAAGAAUAUGUUCCUCUUUUGGAGACAGGGUCUUUUGGAGCUAGCAUUGAAUUGCUCUGUGGCCAGAUGACUCUACAAUUAAGAACAGGAGGCCAGAGAGAUGUCAGCAGGUAAGGGUAACUGCCACCAAACUAACGACAUGAGUUCUAUUCCCAGGACCCACAAAGACAGAAAACUGCAACUGUCCUCUGACUUCCACAUACGCUCUUACCACCACCCACAAAAUUAAAUGAAAAUUUUACAAAGAAAAAACAUCCAAUACGCUCACCAAAGUGUUAACAAUUUUUAACAUAGGGAGUUAGGAGAAAGGGUCUUUAAAAAAUCUUACCUGCCUUUCCAUUAGUCAUAUAAAGAAUUUGCCGCAUUUAAUAAUUCUUCAAAAUCAGAAGUAAAAAUUGUAGAAUUAAAACUUAGCUGCAGAGCUGGGGGGAUGAGGGGUUGUGAAGGGACUGGAGAGAUGGCUCAGUGGUUGAGAGCUCUGGCUGCUCUUCCAGAGGUCCUGAGUUCAGUUCCCAGCACCCACAUGGCCGAUCAACUACAGUUCUGGUUCUCUGGUGAUGGGAAUUAUGUAAGUUGGACAAAUACAUUCAUGAUAUUGGUAAGAUAGCACCAACAUAUUUUAUGAAACUGUUUUUACUCAAGAAAAAGUAGACUUUGAUAGUAAGUCUCAAAUUUAGUAGCAUAAUUAACUUUUAUCACUUUAACUAAAAUAGAGAGAUGUAUGAUAAACUAUCUGUAGUUUUAUUAUACAAGCAAACCAAUUACUACUUAAAUUUGUUGAUUUCAGUUACUUUCUCUAACAUACUAUCCUUUUGUAUUGUCUAUAUUUCUUUUAAAUUUUAACCACUACAAACUAUAAUAAGUGUCACAGAAUCUAAAUAAGAAAGCUAUUGCCGGUUGGGGAUUUAGCUCAGUGGUAGAGCGCUUGCCUAGGACGCGCAAGGCCCUGGGUUCGGUCCCCAGCUCCAAAAAAAAGAAGCAAAAAAAAAAAAAAAAAGAAAAAAAAAAAGAAAGCUAUUGCCUACUAAGUUAAAAAUGCUUAAAACUUUGGGAGCUAGAGAGAUGGCUCAGUGGUUAAGAGCACUGACCUCUCUUCCAGAGGUCCUGAUUUCAAUUCCCAGCAACCACAUGAUGGCUCACAACCAUCUGUAUCGGGAUCUGAUGCCCUCUUCUGGUGUGUCUGAAGACAGCUACAGUGUACUCAUAGACAUAAAGUAAAUCUUUAAAAAAAACAAACUUAACGUUGAAGUCAGAAAACAUGAAAUAAAAACAAAACUAACCCACACUGCCGUCUUGGUUAUCCGUUGUUUCUUCAUCAGCCUGCUGAAUAGCCUUUCGUUUUCCUCUUGUGUACAUUGUAAGAUUACUCUACAAAUGUUUAAAUAAAAUCCAAUAAUAUUUAGUAUAUGUUCACACAAAAAUUAAAACCUAAUUAUUCUUAAAGUGUAGACAUACUAUAAACUUAUAAUUCUAGUAGUAGUAAUUUGUGACAAGUCAACAAAUGCUGAACAAAAUAAUUAUUACUCAUAAGUGGAUCAUUCACUAAAUGGGAUGUCAAAUCAGCACCUAAGGAAAAAAUAUAGUUACCUCUUCUGUUUCAUUGAACACGCCCAGAUCUUCAAGUUUCUUCAUUCGCUGUCUACGCAUCUUCUUCAUGUCAUCCAUCUUUUGAAGUACAGCUUCAGCAGUGCUUCAAAAAUAUUAAGAAUUUCAGCAAGGAGGCAUUAACUUAUUUGGGUAAAAUAUUCAAUACGCCUUUCAAAGAAUUUAAACACGUAUAUAGAAUAAAGGUUACUAACAGCCAUUCUCCUGUAUGUUUCACACAAAUCAAAUAAAUUAUAAUGUUCAGGAUGGGGUUCUAGGGAAAGAAAGGGGAGGGGUCAGGAGGGCAGCAUACAUCCUAGCACCUGGGAGGCAAAGGCAGGGAGGUCUGAGUUCAAGGACAGCCAAUUACAUAGUUUUAUGUGUAUCGGGGGAGGGGGAGAAAGGAUAAAUAGUAAAAUUUCACAAUCCUUCACUGAUAAAGUCUGUUUUAGAUACAAGUUUGUUUAAGCAUUUUUACUUACUUUGUUAUAAGCUUAUCAAAUAGCACAGACUGGUUCAUGGUACUGUAACGACAUGUUCUAAUCCUACAACUUCUUCGAACUUCAACAUCUCCACUUUGUUCAUGCAAAUGUUCUGUACUCGGAGCAAUGUUUCUAUUCCUCAGUGAGCGAAUAACUGGAAUAGCUUUGUCUUUACAGAUGUACGAAAAAAUAAAUUUUAAGUAUUAGCAAAACAACUUGAAAAUGCACAACGGGAUAGCAACUUUCACACAGCAAAAUUAUAGCAUCUUAAACUUGUUCUUCUAGAAAAAUUUUAAGUUACAACAUAUACCUGUGGUAUAAUCUACCUCACUUCAAAGAUGUCAUAUGAGGACUUGUACUUAAAAGUUUAAAGCAGUUUGUAAUAUCUCACAGUCAAUAACAGCUUAUGUCUACUAAAAGAUGAAGAGAUAAAGCCAAGUGUAGUGGUGCAUGGAAUCGCUGCCCGAGAAGCUCAGGCAGAUCUGAGUUUAAAAGAUCAGUCUGGGGGCUGGUUAGAAGGUUCAACAAUUAAGAACACUGGCUGCUCUUCCAGAGGUCUGAAUUUAUUCCCAGGAACUACAUGGUGGCUCACAACCAUGUAUAAAGGGAUCUGAUGUCCUCUUCUGGCAUGUAGGUGCACAUGCAGACAGAGCAUCCUAUAUUUAAAAAAAAAAUAGAGUGCUGAGUGAGAUCCUGUAAUUUUGCUUACAUAAACCUCAAGCAACACUAAUCCAUAGCAACAGAAAACCAGUCAGGCGGUGGCGGUGGCGGCGCACACCUCUAAUCCCAGCACUUGGGAAGCAGAUGCAGGUGGAUCUGCUUAGUCUACAGAGGGAGUUCCAGGACAGUUAGGCCUACAUGGAGAAAGGAAAAAGGAACAGACUGGUGGUUACUUUGGAAUCUGAGGCAAGAUAGGAACUAGAAGAGCCAAGAAAGAUUAUGUAAGUGUCUUAGUCACUGUUCUAUUACUGUGAAGGGAAACCAUGGCCAUGACAACUCUUUUUUUUUUUUUUUUUUAAAGAUUUAUUCAUUUAUUAUAUAAGUACACUGUAGCUGUCUUCAGAUACACCAGAAGAGGGCAUCGGAUCUCUUUACAGAUGGUUGUGAGCCACCAUGUGGUUGCUGGGAAUUGAACUCAUGACCUCUGGAAGAGCAGUCGGGUGCUCUUAACCGCUGAGCCAUCUCUCCAGCCCGGCCAUGACAACUCUUACGAAAGAAAGCAUUGCUUAGAGUUUCAGAGAUUUAGUCCACUAUCAUCUUGGUCAGAAGCACAGUGACACGCCGGGAGUUACAGUAGCUAAGAACAAGAUCCUGUUCUGUAGGUGCAGAGAAUGAGAUGCACUAGGCCUGGUUGGGCUUUUGAAACCUCAAAGUCCAUUCUCAGCUUCACACUUUCUUCAUCAAGGCCACACUUCCUGGGGCUGGAGAGAUGGCUCAGGGGUUAAGAGCACUGGCUGCUCUUCCAGAGGUCCUGAGUUCAAUUCCCAGCAACCACAUGGUGGCUCACAACCAUCUAUAAAGAGAUCCGAUGCCCUCUUCUGGUGUAUCUGAAGACAGCUACAGUGUACUUAUAUAUAAUAAAUAAAUAAAUCUUAAAAAAAAAAAGAAAGCCACACUUCCUAACCCUAACCCUUCUAAUUCCACAAGCGUUCCAUUCCCUUGGGAUUUAGCAUUCAAAUAUAUGAGCCUACAGGGGCCACUUUUAUCCAAACCAUAAUAGGAGCUUGAAGAAACUUUUAGGGGUAAAGGUUAUUUUCCCGAAAUUAGUAUAUGAUUGCUUCUUUUACAUACUAUGUCAAAUCUAAUGAAGCACACAGGUUUUUGUAUGUGCUUCAAUAAGCCCAUAAAUAUUAUGAGCUACAAGCUUUACAAAGUUGAAAUGCUAUUAUCACAACUUACCUUCUUGGCAUUCUUCUUUUUUUUUAUCAGCCUGCUGUUGAGCCAACUGCCUAUUAUAGAAAAUAAGCUAAAUGAAUUAAAAAUAAAAUUGACAUGUUUAAAUCCUACAUUCUAUAUGACAAAAGUAGAAAGUUAAAUAAGUCAAGAAAGUAUAAUACUUAAAAACCCAAUAAACAUUGCUAUGUUAUGGCUAAACAAAAGUCUGUUUUGAAUCUGACAAACCUAUUUUGGUUUUUUUUGAGACAGGGUCUUUGUGGUGGUUUGAAUAGCUCUGGCUCCCAUAGAAUCAGGCCCAUACAGAGUAGCACUAUUAGGAGGUGUGACACUGUUUGAGGAAGUAAGUCACUGUGAGGGCAGGCUUUGAGGUUACAUAUGCUCCAGUGUGACACAGUCCAUUGCCAAUUAAGAUGUAUAACUCUCAACUUCUUCUCCAGAACCUACCUACAUGCUGCCAUGCUUCCUAUCAUGAUGAUGAUGGAACUGUAAGCCAGCCUCAAUUAAAUGCUUUCUUUUAUAAGAGGUGCCAUGUCACAGUGUCUCUUCCCAGCAACGAAACCCUAAGACAACCUCGUCUCGUAGCUCCGGCUAGACUUGAACUAAUAGCAAUACUUCUGUCUUAUCCUUAAGUUUUAGUUAUUUUUAAUUAUAUGUGUCUAUGUAUGUGGAGUGCAGGUGUUGUAUCCUCUGGAGCUGAAGUUACUAUGAGACAACAGACAUAGGUGCUGGGAAUUGAAUCUGGGUCCACCAGAAAAGCCGAAGUAUUCUUAGCUGCUGGGCAAUCUCUAGCUCCAACCUGACUCAAGUCUUCUGAGUGAUGGGAUCAUAGGUGAGACUUACCACAUUGGCUAUUAACUCUUAGCCAAACAGAAAACUCAAGUCAAAGUAUCUCACUUGACAUAGUAAGUGAAGUCCUUGGACUAAGUAUUUAAGUAUGGUUAAAAAAAAGCAUUGCAUGAGAACAAGUUUCACACAAGGAUAUAGUAAUCUCAUAACCUUGAGGAAUUUGGAAUUCUAAAGAGAAUUAAUGGACCUUAGAGAUAUGUUAAAUGUUCUCUAUGAACAGCUUGAAAAUAAUGCCAACACUUGAGAAACUGAGUCAAGAAGAUUACCAUGAGGUGCUCACACACCAGAAAGCAAAGACACACAAAUCUCUGAGUUCAAGGUUAACCUGGCCUACAUAUCAAGUUCUAAGACAGCCAGGGCUUUCUAGGGAAACUUUGUUAAACAAACAAGAUAAAACAAAACAAACAAAAAAACAAGUGAAACACUUUAAGUAAUUAAAGUAGCAAUUUGUUGUUGUACUGGACCAGCUGGACUCUUAAUUUUACAGAAAUUAUUAAAUUUUUUGUGAAGGUGCUAGAAAAAUAGCUAAUAUUUUAGUCUUCUCAUUCUGUGCCUGUUAAAACUAUCUGACGCUAUAAGCAUGAAAGUUGCCAUAUUGUUGUAUGCCAAAGAAAUUUGUCAAAUUAGGUAGCUAGACUUUAACCCUGUGAAUCUAAGUAGAGCUUUAGUCUUUUCUACCUAGAAAACUGCAUAUACAAGUUUAAAUAUUAUUUCACAAGUUUUAUGUACUCCCUGAAGGUGACUUAUGUGAUCUCUGGACCCAAGUCUAGAACAUCAUGAUCACAGAAAUAUUUAGAUCCAUUGUGGAAUGGCUUCUCAAGUUUUCUAUAUUUUCUGUACAGUAUUGAUUAUCUGGUCUUUCAGACACAAGUGAGAUAAAAAAUGGGGUAAAAAAGAAUGAAAAAAAAAAUAAGUGCUGGCUACAGUGGAAAAAGGAAAGAGGAAGGGAAAGUCCACAAUCAAGAGCUCCUACAAAGAUCAAGGAAGACACUCCACAUUAGUCUCUGACCUACACAUGCACUCACCCAUAUAUGCAUACUUGCCUACAUACAUGCAAACAUAUACAUGCAUGUAUGAGUCAUGUAAAACAAUAAAAACAUAUAGAAAAUAAAAGCAAGCCCUUUUUUUGGUUUUAAUACUACUUUAAAGCCAUUUGAAUUAGUGGUGGAAUAUCUGUGUUACCUUGUGAAAUGUCUGCCAUUGCAGUAUUUCUCUGUUCUUUCCACAUUCUUAUCAGAACUAGAAUCCGAAGAAGUUUGUGCUUGCUUUCUCAAAGACCUUAAAGAACGUGUAUUGUGGCAGAUUUCAACUCCCUUAACUGAGGAUCCAUCCUUUAAGAAAAAUUAAGAAAGCUGUUAUUAAGUUUAGAUCAACUUUAAGUGCUAAGAGUUUCCUCUAUUAUGUUAAUAGUUAGUGGCUUUUAUUACAGGAUUUUUAUAUCUCCCCAAGAAACAAUAUAUCAAAAUAAUUAUUUUAUUACAAGCAUUAGAACGGGCUAGACAUAGCAGAGUAGUCAGAUCAUAAGUUCAAGGUUCCACAUAUCAGUUACAUACAAAGUGCGAGACUGAGCUGAGACACUCAUACCAGAAAGUAAAAAAGGUCAGCUCCAUAUUUCAGAGGUAAAGGAACCUGCCUCUAAGCUUUAAGACCUGAAUUAAAAUUCCAAGACUCGGUAGAAGGAGAGAAUAGAUUCUUGCAAGCUGUCCUGACAUCCUCGUGUGUACAAACACACACGUACAGGCAUACACAGUAAUGAAAAAUCAAAAGUUGUAUGUUCUUUUCUUUCUUUUUAAGAUUUAUUAAUUUUCUGUAUCAGUAUCUUGCCUGCCUGUGCCUGGUACCUGUGGAGGUCAGAAAAGGGAGCUACAGAGAGUUGUGAUCAACUAUAUGGGUGCUCUGACUGAACCCAGGUCCUCUCAAAGAGCAGUAAGUACUAUUAACCACUGACCCAUCUCUCCAGCCCCAAACAACUAAUAUUUCAACAACAAAAUUUUAAUAGUCAUCCAAACUCUGGAUUUGCUGAAGCUAGCCUAACCCAUCUCAUCAAAUUCCUACUAUAGCUCUUCAGGGUUUCCCUUCCUGGUUCAUAAUGCAUGAAGAUGUGUUUCUCAACCCCACAAGCCCCACUCACCAUUCCAUAUUGAGGUCUCCCUGCUUUAGCACAGGCCUAUAAUUCCAGCAACAUGGGAAACGGAAGCAGGACUACAUGUUCAAGUUCUGCCAUCAAUGAGGUAGUGACCCAAGAAUAUACCAUCAACUUCCUAAGUACAUCCAUAGAGUGGGCUUCAAGAAGUGUGCCCCUCAGGCACUCUGAGAAAUCCAGAUCUUCCAGGAAGGGGACACGGACUCCAGAUGUACAAUGAUAAACAGGCUCAAUAAGGAAUGUUCCAUAUCAUACGCACGUUUGUCCAGAAAAAUGUAAGGAGGGUGACAACUCACCAAACAAACACUAUACAUUGGUAACUGAGUGCCCACUACCACAUAAAAUCUAGUCAAUGCAGACGAGAACCCGCUGAAAGCCACAGUUACAGAACUGCCUUCAAAGCUAAGACAAGGUACACUGUAGUUAUGGGUCACUCCAUACCUUCAGAAUUUAAGGUCAAUCUCCAGUAUUAAACCAAGAAAAAUCACAUUAAUUUAAAAUGAAUAAAUUUAACCAACCUAAGUACCAUCUCUAUCAGCUGUUGAUAAAUAUGUGACUGGUAAUUAAGAAAUAUUCAAAGACUAGGGUAAGCAGAGAGUUAAGUCUUUAAAACAUACAUUUCAUUUACAAGAAGACAUGGGACUGAAUAUAAGUCCCCAGUUUAUAAAACUUUUCAAAUACAAAGCUAUUUUAUUCUUGGUAUAGAUGGUGUUUUGUAAUAUGAAUCUAUAGUCCUUGAGGGAAAUCCAAUGACACUCCCUAAUUAACCUCUAAUUAGAAGAUCUACAAAAGUACCUUGAUUUAUAGAAGGGAGGACUUCAUUUCAAAAAUAUAGAUUGUGGCCAGGUAGUAGUGAAUGCCUUUAAUCCCAGCACUUCUGGAGGCAGCUCUGAAUUGGAGGCCAGCCUGGUCUAUACACAUUAGAGUUUUAGGAUAGUCAGGACUACACAGAGAAACCUUAUCUCAAACCAAAACAGACAAAACGUGUACUGUGAACUCUGUCCUGAAGACUAUCCUCUUCAGUCCACAACAGGCUGCUGUGAGUACUUCAAGGGCUCAACCUCAGUGUAGUAUGUAUGUAUGGCAUGGUCUGUGUAUCAGGCCUAGCUUAUCUCUGUGAAUAAUGACAACUAAAAACAGAUACUCCUAGUAUGUGCCAUGUUCUGUUCUAGAACACGGUGCUAAUAGAAAAUAAAAAAAUAUAUAUAUAUAUAUAUACCCCUAUAGUUACAUUCUGAGUAAGGGAGAAAUAUAAAUAGAAAAAUUAGGAGAUAUACAGAUGUCUUAGAAGGAUGUAAUUGCUGAACAGAGGGCAGAAUAAAAGUUCAUGUAAAGAGGAAAGGUUUGUAAUUUUGAGUAAAAUCUCUGCCAAUUCAGGCACCUGAGAAGCAAAUCCUAAAAGGCCAAGAUUUUCAAUUUAAGCAACAAUUUCAGCGCUAAAAAAAAAAAGGGACUAUAGUUUCAUAUCCCAGUCCUCACAGAAGCAAAUAAGUCUGUCUACAAGAUAUUUACUUUAUAUAGUACCCUAAUACAAGACUAGCAUUGUCUGAACUAAGUGGACACUGCUGCGUCACUCCUAGCACAGUGCUCUGAUCACUGACUUCCAAGCUAUCUUGAUCAGUUGGCUAACCUACUCCCUCACUGCAACAAGACCAUCAUUACCGUUUUCGGAAACUUUAGUGUUGCUUCAACCUCAACCUUUUGGGUGAACGCUGCCCCCUUCCCCACUGCCGAAGUGGGGCAAUAUCUUAAUCCCUCCGCACUGAUCCCUUAGAUGGGCAAGAAAAAAAAAACAUUUGCAAAUCUCCCACUAGAUACUGUAAAUGCAGCAAGAAGUGCCAGAAAAGGAAAGAUGUGGGAGGCACAAAAAGCUAAGUUCCAAUUUCAGAACUGUCUGCCACUUUCUGUUUACCUUUCUGGAGUCCAUGUCCUCAUCUGUCACACUGAUACCACCCCUACCGUCCUCUAAAGCUUGUCAAGAGACUUGAAGGAAGUGCACACACGAAGCGUUGCUGUUCGUCCCCCGGCAUUAUGCAACCUGAUUAUUUUACUUCGCUGAGGACUCAUUAUGGAACCUCCCCGGGCCGCAAAUGGAGGUCAGUGAACUCUUGAGUUACUGUGCCCGCAACCCCUAAAAUGUUCGUGUGCAUGCGCUCAAGUAGUCAGGGGGUCGUACUCCCCUGACUCGAACCCGGAAAGGAACCGGGAAAGGGAGGCUGGGGAGCACAAGGACGGCCCAAAGCACCUCGGCUCAGCCCUACGCAGCAUUUCGGCUCUUGGUUUCCUCUUGCGUAGAAAGAGGUGGCGACCAACUGCUUAGCCCGCUUCCACCUAGGUCUGUCUCUCCAGAACCUUCCACCUCGCUGGCCCGCGACAGCCCACCAACCCAGUGGGGGGCGCGGGUCUCCUCAGCGCGUCUCCACCCAGGGCCCAAGGUUCCCCGUCCCAGGCCGGUACUCACGCCCGCCGCCUCCGCUUUGGGCACAGUAGAUUUCCCCGCGGCUCGGGCCAAGCUGGGCCGCCUCCGGCCGCUGUGUUCCAGACUGAGGAACUCACUGGACAGGUCCAGAGAGUCGGUGGCCGAAGAGAUGGUGGAGUGACUGUGCAGCUCCAGGCUGCUGCGGAGGACCACCAUCGUGUCCCGCUUCAAAAGCCGGAACCCGAGGCGGGGGAGAGAAAUACGGAGCUCCGGAGGAUGCUUCUCAGGCGCUCGCGCGCUCUGAAUUCUGGCGCCACAAACUGCGCGCCCAGCGGCCUUAGCGUAAGCGCGCCGAAUCCCUCCGCCGCCGGUCACGCCCCCUCCGCCGCCGGCCACGCCUCCUUACCCUCUCAGACCGACGAACACAAAACAGUCCUCCAAUCCGAAGAACUCGGGAACCUCUGCCGAAGCGAACUGGAACCCAGCAAACUGUGUCGAACACCUAGCAGGAAUUAGCGACGUCGUUCUUCCUUCUGUAGUUCCGGCUCUCCGCCCUCAGUGGAAGGAGACGGAGAGAGCGGUGCUGCGUCUUGUUUGGAAUUUUGGCGCGUGGACGCGGAAGGCCUCUUUGGCUACCUGCCGGCGGCUUCCCGCCAUCUAGGCUUCAGACGCCAGGAAAAAAAAAAGGUCGUUAAACCAAGCACUUUGCCUUCGAUAGGUUUGACUCUAAGACAGAAGAUGUUUUUAUUGAUGAAUUAACAAAAAUAAGUUAACCACACGAAAGAAAGAAAAUAUAACGGUUCUUAAAGACAGCGAAAAGAACUGGCAACAGCUAUUGGGAUAGACUGAGUCAUAUAAGCUUACGAGAGAUAAAACUGUAAAAUCCUAAUCUUAUAAAAGCCACCAACUUGUAAAGUGUUAAGGAUAAUUAUGACAUGCAAGUUAAUGGUCAGUCACCUUAUAAGUGAUCAAAUUCUUUUUCUCUGCUCAGAACUGUUCGUUGUCAUGCUAACUACAAAUGUAAUUUAUUUACCGGGACGUGCUUUGGCCUUCUGCAUAUGUUGUCAAGGUUAAAUGUAAAGAAAGUAAUUAAAAAACGAGCUUUCUUUAAAUUAAUAGGUUAGAUGAUGGUUCUCAAACCCCUUAAAGAGAUCUGCAGACUGGCAUUUAAGGGGUUUAAUAAAAACACUUCCCCUGUUAGACAAUACCAGCUUCUGGUAGCCUCAGCUGAGGCUAUCUCUAAAGAUGAGCAGCAACGGACUUGACCUCCUUCAAGUGUGGUAACUGACCACUUGGCAAAGAACUGCCUCAUUCCUCACCUGCUGCCAGGGCCCAGUCUAAACUGUGGACACUGGUUGACUGCUCUACUCUGCCUUGCAAAAGUAAUUCACUUCCCCAAAAUUCCUCCUCCACAGAAAAAUCUCUUAGACAGAAGAUUGAUGGGGCCCUGUGUGGCAGCUGGUGGUAAAAGACUUGUCAACCUCUGUCCCAAACAAAGAUCACCAUGGAGUAGCUCAGGGUGGCUGUCUAGGUAAUAGGUAAAUCUCUGUCAUCCUUAAUUGAUACAGAAGCCAUUUUGGGAAAAAAAAAAAAAAAAAAGCCUUGUUAAACAAGUGACAUAUAAAUGUUCCAAUUUGAUAGGAACAGAUACCACUGAUCUUCUAAUAUUUUCAGCUCUAGCCCAUUUUGAUUAGAGGUACUCUGUUCUUAAUAGUUUCAGUAGCUGUUGGUGGUGGUUCACACCUUUAAUCCCAGCACUCAGGAGGCAGAGGCAGGGGGAUCUUGUGAGUAGUAGGCCAGCCUGAGCUACAGACUAAGUUCCAAGACAGGCAGGACUACACAUAAAAAUCCUGUCUCUAAAACAAAACAGAAGUGCGUGCGUGUGUGUGUGUGUGUGUGUGUGUGUGUGUGUGUGUGUGUGUGUAAGUAAUAAUGUAGGGUAGUUUCUGUUUCUACCACUAUCCACAUAUCCCUGACUCAAUUCUUUGUUCUGAGGCAGAAGAAACUGUAAAUCCCAGUGGGCAUUUGUUAGGCUCUGAUAUCCAUCUAUAAUACCCCUCCUCUCCACCCCUUGAGUGUUGAAUUACACAUCUGUACCCACACACCUUUUAUGUGGUGCCAGGGAUUGAAUCAAGGUUUUCUUACACAACAGGCAAACAUUCUACCAGCUGAGCUACAUCUCUAGCCAUCUGUACCCCAAUAAAAAAAAGAUUCUAUACCAGGCCUAAUGCUUAGACUUUGAUCAGAGAUAUGAGAAUUAGAUCAUAAUUGCAAAGUGAUAAAGUUCUUUAUUGAAUAGGGUGCUGAGCCACAUGAUACCAACAAAGUAACUUCUGCUUUAAGAGACUUGACAAAACAUAAACAUAGUUUCUAACAGUUGUGUCAGUAAGAUGAAUUCCUCUCUGUUCUCCUGCCCCCAUUAAAACUACUGCUUGGGAAAGCUAAACACUGCCUCUUGCUCACAUUAAAAUUACCGUUUGGAAAAGCUAAACACUGCCAAGAAAUUGGUUUUUGUCAACAUUUAGGCUCUGACAUUCCCCCACCAGAACAUUUACUAAAAUGAUCUAUCAAUGUGUAUCUUUUGCAAUUCAGAAGUCUCUCUAUGGCUCUCAAAGGAAGAGCCAUUCCUUUCAAAUGGAAUCACCAGGAAAGGCACAGCUGACUCUUGAAGUCUCUGUGGGAGGACUGUACUUCAGAUAACUGUGACUUUGUGCCAGCAACUACUAAAUACAUUAUAUAGACAAACUCGACCCUUGUAGUAAACCUAUUUUUAACCUGAUUUUUACAGAUGUGAAAACAACAGGCAUGGGGAGUAUGGUGGUGGACAAGCAGCUCUAUUCAAGGGCACAUAUCUCCUACUUGGCAAAAUCUGCCAUUUAUGUUCAAAGUCUAGGUGUGGUCAUGUGCCUGUUAAUUCUAACACUCAGGAGCUAGAACAAGGAGGGUAUGUCAAGGCCAUCCUUGACUACACAGUAAGUUCAAGGAUAAUGUGGGCUAUAUGAAAAACCCUGUCUCCCCACCACCUUUGUACACAGGCCUCAAAAUAAUCAGGAGACAAUCAUAGGUUAGGCAGCAGUUGAAUACAAAGUAACUACAAAAUAGAGACACACUCUGUAUGCAGCUAAAGCUGGUUUGAAAUGCUUGGCUCCAGGAAUGACACUAGUAGGAGUUGUGGCCUUGUUAGAGUAGGUGGGGCCUCAUUGGAGGGAGUGUGGCCUUGUUAGGGUAGCCUGGGCACCAAGGACAGGAAUGUGGAUUUGGGGACUUUGGAUUUGGAAAGCAGUGGGAUGCUUUGAGUGGGGUUUAAUGGGAGGGACAUCCUAGUAGGAAAAUGGAAGACAGUGGUGCAGAGUGUGAUUUGAGCUGUAGGGACCUGGCUCAAGAGGGUUCAGAGGAGACUGUAAUGUGUGGCCUAGAGUCUGUUGCUGUGAUAGUUUGGUGAAGAAGGUGGCUGCUUUGCCCUUAUCUGAAGAAUCCGCCUAAGGCUAAGGCUAAAGUGAAGAGAAUUAGAUUAAUUGCAUUGACAAAGGAAGUCUUAGAAAAGCCUAGCAUAGACUUUAUCCUCUGGUUUACUCUCAUGAAGAGUGAUUUGAAAAUACAAAACGUAUGGUUCAAGAUAUAAAGGGCAACAGGAAGUAAAAUGGAGCUGAAUCCUGUGUUUGAGGAUAUUAAAUGAAAUUAAGAGAGCGGUGGUUCUAGGUAAGACCCCACCCAGCUAAGCUUAUUGUUUGUGUGUUUGCGUAGAACAUGGAAUGGGGGGGUUGGGGAUUUAGCUCAGUGGUAGAGCGCUUGCCUAGGAAGCGCAAGGCCCUGGGUUCGGUUCCCAGCUCCGGAAAAAAAAAAAAAGAACAUGGAAUAGGUAUGUCAUGUUAGUAUUUGCAUAGAACAUGGAAUAGGUAUGUCAUGUUAGAUGUUAUUACCUGGUUAUUGUUUUCAUUUGUGCUUUAAUAAUUCAGAAGUGGAGGGCACACUUGUGUAUUUUGUUUAAAAGAAUUAUUUAUUUUAUUUCUAUGAACUGUAACUGUCUUCAGACACACCAGAAGAGGGCACCAGGUCCCAUUACAGAUGGUUGUAAGCCACCAUGUAGUUGCUGGGAAUUGAACUCAGGACCUCUGGAAGAGCAGUCAGUGCUCUUAACUGCUAAGCCAUCUCUUCAGCCCUACACUUGUGAUUUUAAGGCUGGAAGACACAGACUUUUCAUCUGGAUCUGAGGAAAAGUGGCCAUGAAAACAUUUGGUCCUGGCUUGGUGGUACAUACCUUUAAUACCAGGAGACAAAGGCAAGCAGAUCUCUGAGUUCAAGGCCAGCCUGGGACAGAGCAAGUUCUAGGUGAAGAAAAACUUCAGUCCAGGCAUGGUGGUACAUGCCUUGAAUCCUAUCAUUCAGAAGACAGAGCCAUGCAAAUCUCUGAGUUUAAGGUCAAUCUAUAGAGCAAGUUCCAGGACAGCCAAGAUUAGCCGUGAUUAAGAAGGGACCAGCAUCACUGAGGUAAAAAAUCUUCUGAGAAUCAAAAAGAAGCUGUGUUUCAGAGAUAGCCAAGGUUACCUCAUGCUGCAUCUGGAAUUAGCAAUGUGUACGAAUCACCCACUGGUACUGGUUUUGAAGGCAUGAAGGUGUGGGUCAUGGAGAGCAGCUGAGGCUUGGCACUGUGAGAGGCCAGGGAAGGCCAUUGGUGAAAGUGUCGCCUCAGUUGCAGUUAAACAAUCCAGGACUGAGGGGGUCAUGCAAAGAAGUUGAGGCUUGGCACCAUGAAGGGAGCUUAUAGAGGUGAUUGGUGAAGCCUAGGUACAGCAGAAGGAUUGCAGAUGCCAGUACCAUGGGAUGAUCACCAAGAACAGCAGCGGCAGUGGAAUGGAGUCAACCAGAGCCUAGAGUACUGCAUAGGGCAGAGCUGGAGAAGUGACCCAGGGCAGGAGAAGUGGUGGAGAAGUGACCCAAGCCCUUUGGAGGAACCUAGAAGAUCAUGUGUGGAUCCCAGACUUUGGAAAAAGAAGCUGUAAAGUUCAAGUUCCCCUGGAGACCCUAAGAUGUUCGAGAUUCCAGAGCCAUGAGAUACCUGCUGAGGAAAGUUGCUAACAGGGAGUGGAACCAGCCCAGGAGAAAGAAGUUUGCUGCAGUCAGCAAAGAUGAAAAAGGAGGUGGAGAUCUGAAGAGCACUUUGACAUCAGACACGGAGAUGCAGAGUUUAGAGUUUGCCCAAGUGGAUUUUGGUCUUUUUUGGUCCGUAUUUCCUCCCUAUGUCAUUUUGGAAUGGUAAUGUAUAUCCUUUGAUGUUUGAGUUUGACUUUAUAGGGAUUACAGUUAAGUGAUUGAAUGCAUCUCAGAAAAGAUUUGAACUUUGGACUUUUAACAUCGUUGAGACUGCUAUAGACUAUGGGGACUUUUGAAGUUGGACUAAACAUAUUUUUUACACUAUGGGUAGGUAUGGCCCUCAUAGACUCACAUGUUUGGACAAGUCUGUGGGGGCCAGGGAGUGGACUGUGGUGGUUUGAAUAUGUUUGGCUCAGGGAGUCACACUAUUAGAAGGUGUGGCUUUGUUGAAGUAAGUGUGUCAUUGUUGGGGUGGGCUUUGAGACACUCCUCAUAGCCACAUGGGAGACAGUCUUAUGUUUGCCUGUGGAACUGAGAUGCCAAAUCUUUUAAGUUCAGACUUCAUUUUAGAGAACCUGACCUAAGUUUGAACUCAGGUAAACUAAGAGGUUUGUACCUAGCAUUAGUGUCCAAGUUGCCCCCCAACAAAACCUGAGCCUAGCUCCCAGUCUCUAGGCUAAUUCCCAAUAAGACCAGAGUUCCCAGGUUACACCCUCACAAGACCAGUGUUUCCAGGUUAUUCAUCCAACAAACUUGCACCCCCAGGUUACAAGCCCAUCCCUUGCUUAAUGACCACCAGUGCAGAGGGGAGCAGAAGUUAAGUUUAUGAUAUGAUUCCCAGCACCAGCCAAUUAUGUUAAAUGCUACAGUAGCUUUCCAAUUAGAUGCUUGCACACGUACUCCCUGCUUGCUGCUUACUAUAAAGUCUUGUCCUGAUAAGACAUUCGGGGCUCCCCCACAACCAAAACCAUCCUGAGUGACAGUGGUGCAUCGGGGAGACCCGAGCUAGCUUAAAUUGAAUAAAGACCUUGUUUGAGUUACAUCAGAUUGGCUCCUGUGUGAUCACUAACAUUACCCUGGCAUAACGGAACAAGAUGUAGAACUCUCAGCUACUCCAGCAUCCUGCCUAGAUGCUGCCAUGCUUCCUGUCAUGAUAAUAAUGGACUGAACCUCUGACACUGUAAGCCAGCCCCAACUAAAUGUUGUCUCUUGUGUUGACU